AUGGAUUAGAGAACAAGAAAAUCAACAAGUUGCAGCAAGAAUUUUUUAUUCAGGGCAAAAGGAUAUCAACAGUAAUUAAAAUAUUUUGUCCUUUCUUAGAAACAGAAAUCCAGUGUGAUUCUUCUUCCCUAAUGCAGUAUCUGUAGAGGUGGGCAGGGGCAGCCUUGAAGAGCUGGUUUAGCAAAAGGGCUAGUGAAGUAAAAGAUUUUGCAAAAAUUCUAGAAAAGUCAAAGCAAAUCUUAUAUAAGACUGCAUGGGAGCAACUUUAAAUCUUCAGAAGUCUAUGUGGUUACUAUUAAUAGUGUGUUACUCUAGGGGGAAAAAAGAAAGUGUUUUUCAUUUGAGCAGAUGAAAGAAAAUUAAGAUUACAUUAAAAGGCAAAGAAUGUUAGAAUAAGGAACCUUAUUACCCCUAUGAAAAUGACCAUAUAGACUGGGCUCACUAGGACAGUCUUAUUUCAGAGUUUUUACAGAGUUGUUGUUAAUAAUGACCCCUGCCAUUCUCAAAAAUGCUGAAUAAGAAGGUAAGUUGUGUGGUUAUGCUAUCUAUAAUAAAAUGCCUUCUUUUAAUCAACAGGAUAAACUCUGCUUCUCCAUGUCUGACCCAGGCAUACAGAUUGAGUGUAAAUGCUAAAUUCCCAAGCCAUUCAAUUUACCAUGGUAUCCUCUCAAAGGACAGGGCUGAUAAUUUGAUAGAUGAACGCAACCUCUGGAUUUCACUGACGGGCAACAAAAAAACAACAUCCCUACAUUUGAGCUGCUCAAGUCAUCUACAACUUACAGACUAGGAAAAAAUGCUUCAGCUGUACAAACUGUAGUCUACUAUUAUCUCUGCCCCCUGGGGAAAAUUCACUCAUCCUGCACGUCUGCUUUAAGUCUGAUUUUGGCUAUAUGCAGUGGGUGGAUAACUACUUGUUUCCAUGCCCAUCUUAGGCAUGAAUGUUGUUUCCAGCUUCUGUGGACUGCUGCUUCCACUCAUCAGUAAGUACUAGAGUUGGAAUUAACCUUAUAACAGCAAGAAUUAAUAAGCCAUGGCAAGAAUUUUUCAGUUUAGAACUGAGGACAGUAAUGAGAAGAACAAUUCUCUUAAAGAGGAUCAGGUCCUGGUGUUCAGUGACUCUGGCUUUCUGAAAUCUCCUGCUUUUAAUCACACCCAACUGUUUCACUACAAACUGUUUCAGUCACCGUCAGGAAAACAGCAACGAGGAGCUGAACCAACACCUUCAGGAAACCAGGCUAAGCUGAAGCGCUGACGCUGCCCGGCAAGUUAAGCAUCUGGACGACUUUUCUUGUCUGUUAUCUAUCGUAUUUCUGAACCCAAAUUUAACUGAAUAAGUGGUUAUAAAUGGCAACUGUUUUCACUGGUCUAUGAACUUUGUCAGGAGAAUCCCUGUGGAGAACCUCCAAAAUGAGGCCAAAAAGGCAGUAUGUGCAGCAUUUUGACUUGUGCUGGUGGGCAUUUCAAUAACUACGUUUUCCAGAAAUCAAAGAGCUCCUGUCAGCUUGGGACUUGAAAAGUUCUUUCCUCUCCAGGGCAAUCUCUCCUGCUCUUUCAGGAUGAAUAUGAGGGUGUGGUUCCUUUAUACUGUUCUCUCAUUUGAGUUGAGGUAUUAUUGCUAUUUAUUUAAGGUUAGUCAUAGGAUCACUAAAGACACAUCAAAAAGAAAAAAAGCACUUAAUACACAGAUGAAACUUAAAAAAAAAAAGCACAAGGCAUGUUUAUAAAGGCAAAAGACUGGAAAGAGGCUACUGACUGUCAGUGCUGCUCAAAUGUUAAAUUCUCAGUGAGGCCUUCCCUGGCCAACCUAGUAAAAAUUGUAAACUCAACUCCAGCCCCUUUCCUGCUUUAUUUUUCUCCAUGGUACUUACUAUCAAACAUAAACAUAUUUUAAUUAUCUUGUUCCCUCUCUCUCACUAGCAACUAGAAUAUAAACAUGGAGGCUGAGGUCAAUAGCUGUUUUGUUCCUAACAUAAUUACUCAUGCUAAAAAAUGGCCAACAUAUAAUAGGCAUUCAAUACAAUCAGCUACUUCAGUCAUAUACCUUAAGGUUACUGAGUUACUGAGUCAACGGCAGUUUCUUAAGCAUUGUGUAUAACCGUGUGUACUUUCUCUUGAAAGUUUUUUCUUCCCUUCUCCUCACUUUGCCUGACAAACUGUUAAGACUCGUUCUUUAAAGGCUCAACUCAAAUGUUGCCUCCUCUUCGAAACAUUACUUAUUUCUCACUUCUGUCUUCCUGCUGAACUACCUGUUCCAUAGAAAGUAAGUUACUCUUAAGAAACUUUAGUUGCUCUUGUGACUGUGUCCUCAAAAGGCAUACUAUCCACAGACAAGGGAUAUCAUCUUUUUUUUAUAUAUACAUACCCACUGCCUAUCACAUGCUUUGUAAAUUCUAGGCAUGCAAUAAGUUUGCCCAAAGAAUGAAUGAAUGCAUGAAUGUAUUAAACAAAUAUGUAUUUCCAAUGUGUAAAGCAGAUUAUUACGCAUGAAGUUAUAGAAUGAAUAAUUCUUUAUAACAGAUCUUGUUCUCAAGAAGCUCACAUGACAGAGAUAAAUGUAAGACAAAUAUAAUUCUUGUCAGUACAUGGUAAGAGCUAUAAUAGAAAUUAAAACAGUUCCAUGGGGACACAGCAGAGAAGACAAUUCUGACUGAAGAAAACAUGGUCUUGAUGAUUAAACAUGAUUUUAAUUGACAGGGAGGGUAGAAGGUGCUUCUAGGUUGAGGAACAGACAAACAUGUAUUAGUUUGCAGAUACAAGAAAAGUUUGGGGGAACACUGAGUAGGUCUAGAAUAUAGUUGUGUGGAGGGGAGUAAGAUGAUGGUAGGGUGAGUUAGAGUAAAUAGCAUCUUUAAAUAUCAUGUUCGAGUCUGACUUUCAUUCAUGGAAAUGUAGGGCCACUCAUCUAUCCAUUUCAGAAACAGGAUUCUCUAAAUGGAUGUCUCACAGAUGAAUGGGAAGGAAGAGAUGUUGCAUUUGUUUAUUUGUUUAACAAAUGUUUAUCUUAACAUCCACCAUAUUCCAGACAUGAGGCUGGAGAGAGGCAGUUCUAAGCCGUCCCUGCCCUUAGGGAAAGCUCAUUGUCUAGCUGGGAAGACAGGUGGGGACAUGUAAUUGUGUUAAAGAAUGGCUUGUACAACAGAGCCUGUGUAGGUCAGUGGCUCUAAAUGUACUAUCAAUAAAAGGUUUUCUUGGUGAAGAUACAUUCUAAAAUAUACAAAAAUUGAAAUGAACUGAGCUAAAAAUAAAAAAUAAUAAC